GUAUGAAUACCAUGUCCUUGUGCAAGUCCAGUAGGUAGGGAUGGUCCCUUCACAUGCUGACCUUCUUUUCAAAUGCAGAAUCUUAGUUUAAGGCCUUGUCUUCCCAAGGGGGUUAUUCGUGGGUGUGCACAAUGCAGAAAUUGCCAAAAGAUCAUUGCAAAAUGGCAACCUGAAUGUGCUCGGAGGCCUGACCUUGAGAAUGCUCCUGUAUUCUACCCUACUGAAGAGGAGUUUAAAGAUACUUUGAAGUACAUAGCUAGCAUACGGGCAAAAUCUGAACCAUAUGGAAUUUGUCGCAUUGUUCCUCCCCCUUGCUGGAAACCUCCUUGUCCUCUGAAGGAAAAGUCUAUUUGGGAGGGUUCUACUUUUGCUACUCGUGUCCAGAGGAUUGACAAACUGCAGAAUCGAGAUUCCGUGAAAAAAAUGUCAAAGCUAUAUAACCACACCAGGAAGAAAAGGAGAAGAUGCAUGAGAAUGGCAGUAGAUUGUGGGACAGACACGGGAAAUAUCACUGGGUGCAAUGAUGCUGGAAUUUGUGAUUCUGAGAGUUUUGGGUUUGAACCUGGUCCAGAGUAUACUCUGAACACAUUUCAGAAAUAUGCAGAUGAUUUCAAGGCUCGGUACUUCAGGAAGAAUGAUAACAUCAUGGAUAAGGGAGGUGACACGGAUGUGCUUCAUGAUAACUGGGAGCCAAUGGUGGAGAACAUUGAAGGUGAAUACUGGCGGAUUGUAGAGAAAGCGACAGAAGAAAUAGAGGUGCUUUAUGGGGCUGAUCUUGAAACUGGGGUUUUUGGCAGUGGGUUUCUGGAAUUGUUCGGUAAAGCUGGUUCUGAUACAAAUGAAUGUUACGCAAAGUCUGGUUGGAACUUGAAUAACUUUCCGAGACUUCCUGGAUCUAUCCUUUCCUAUGAAGCUGGUGAUAUAUCGGGUGUUCUAGUACCAUGGCUGUAUAUUGGAAUGUGCUUUUCCUCCUUUUGUUGGCAUGUUGAAGAUCAUCACUUAUAUUCACUGAAUUACAUGCAUUGGGGUGAUCCAAAAAUGUGGUAUGGGGUCCCAGGGAAGGAUGCCAUUAAAUUGGAAGAGGCAAUGAGAAAGCAUUUACCUGAUCUUUUUGAAGAACAACCUGACUUGCUUCAUAAGCUGGUGACACAGCUUUCUCCUUCUAUACUAAAAUCUGAAGGAGUACCAGUCUAUCGAUGUGUACAAAAUCCUGGAGAGUUUGUCUUAACCUUUCCUCGAGCAUACCAUUCAGGAUUUAAUUGUGGCUUCAAUUGUGCAGAGGCGGUAAAUGUCGCCCCUGUUGACUGGUUGCCCCAUGGACAGAUUGCUGUGGAGCUUUACCGGGAACAGGGACGAAGGACUUCCAUCUCCCAUGAUAAACUGUUGCUUGGAGCAGCAAGGGAAGCAGUGAGAGCUCAAUGGGAACUUAAUUUACUGAAAAAGAACACUAUGGAUAACUUAAAAUGGAAAGAUGUAUGUGGGAAAGAUGGAAUAUUAGCAAAAGCAGUCAAGGAACGUGUAGAGAUGGAGCGCGUGAGGAGGGACUUCCUUUGCAAAUCUUCGCCGGCGCUGAAGAUGGAAAGCAAUUUUGAUGCCACAAAUGAAAGGGAAUGCAGUGUCUGCCUUUUUGAUUUGCACCUAUCUGCAGCAGGAUGUCAUUGUUCUCCAGACAAGUAUUCAUGCUUGAACCAUGCAAAGCAGAUGUGUUCAUGUAGUUGGGAUACCAAAUUUUUCCUAUUCCGCUAUGAAAUCAGUGAAUUAAACAUUCUUGUUGAAGCAUUGGAAGGAAAAUUGAGUGCAAUAUACAGAUGGGCGAGAUUAGAUCUUGGACUGGCCCUAACAUCUUACAUCUCCAAAGACGAUUUGGAAGAUUGUAAGUUAUCUUCUUUGCCAGAUAGAAGAGCAGAUAAAGAGAUGAGAUCAAAACCAUCAAUAGAACUUCUUAAAGAUUUAGAUAGUACAGGAACCACCAUUGAAGUCACAGUGACUUCACUGGAUAUCUUUGGUGAGACUGCUUCAGUAGAAAAAAAGACACCUCCUGGGGCAGCAGAUUUGAAAGGGAUGGAGACAUCAUCUAUAUCCUGUCUUUCUUUUCAAGCAAUUAAGAAUCAAAAUCAUGAUCCAGAGGUGGAUACAAAAUGUAUUCUUUCUUUUACCAAUUUAGCAACAUCAGAAUGCCAGCUAUCUCAAGUAGACAUGUCCCACGCUGAAGACCUCGCUUCAUCAGAAUCUGGAAUGAAAAAUCCUUCAACUUUGGGCCAUGAUAAUAUUAGUCUUAGUGUUUAUCAUGGUGAUAAAUCAAAGGAAACAGUUGUAGAAAGAGAAACAGCAAUUUCUCUUGGAAAGCACUCAGAACUUUCUAGGGGGUCAUCUAGUUUUGAUGACUGUCCCUGUAAUGACAACAAAGAUUCAAUCUUAAUUGUCCCGCUUACUGAUGCAGAAGUGGUUAGAAAAAAUGAUGUUAUUUCUUCCCUUGAUCCUGAUGGACAAAGGAAUAAUUGUUUACUUGAUCCUGUAAAAGUGAAGGAUGACCAACAUCAACAUGGUAAAAUAGGUCUUGCAUUGAAUGAGGCAGACAUUUCUUGCCAUGCAGGCUGCACUAGUGCAGGGUGUGGUAAGAAUGUUCAGGGUUCCUCAAACAUGGGAGAGACCAAUAAGGAUCAAAAUAUUUCAAAUGCUAAGAGUCCACAGCCACAGCAGUGUGGCAUUGCAAAUACCAAUGAUGGGGAUAAAUUAGGAGCAAAUGCUACCUUAAGUCCAGUAGACAACUCAAGAACUAUGGCAGGUAGCCUAUCAGGCUCACAAAAUAAUUUGGAUCGAUAUUUCCGGCAGAAGGGUCCCCGACUUGCCAAGGUAGUGCGAAGGAUUAACUGUAAUGCUGAGCCUCUGGAAUUUGGAGUUGUACUUCCUGGAAAAUUGUGGUGUGACGGCCAGGCAAUUUUCCCCAAAGGUUUUAGGAGCAGGGUUAGAUACAUAAAUGUUUUAGAGCCAACAAAUAUGUGUUAUUAUGCUUCAGAAAUUCUGGAUGCAGGGCAAAAUAGACCUCUAUUCAUGGUUUCAUUGGAGCAUCGUCCAAGCGAGGUAUUCAUUCACCUUUCAGCAGCCAGAUGCUGGGAAAUGGUUAGAGAGAGAGUAAAUCAAGAGAUAACAAAGCAACAUAAAUUGGGAAGAAUGAACUUGCCUCCUUUGCAACCUCCUGGAAGUCUUGAUGGCUUUGAAAUGUUUGGGUUCUCUUCACCAGCAAUUGUUCAGGCCAUAGCGGCAUUGGAUCGGAAUCGAGUUUGCACAGAUUAUUGGGACUCCAGGUCCUACUCACGGCCUCAGGGUCAGAUUCCACAGCCUUCUCAACCCAAAGAAAAUGCAAGCUAUAUUCAGGGAACAUCCAAGGAACAUAACAAUAGAGGAACUUCAUGGAGCAAUCUACAAUCUGAGAGAGUUGAUUUGAUAAUCCAAGGCUUAUUCAAGAAGGCAAACCCAGAAGAAUUAUACUCGCUGAGUCGAAUUCUUAAUGAUUCUAAGCCGACAGUUGAUCAAAGCAUAAUAACACUUGUUAAUGAAGAGAUUCAAAGUCGCCUCAGAUAAUAAUUCAUCAAUUUGGUUUCAGGAAGCUCCGAGUCUGAAGAUCGAGUUUGCCAUUGCAAUUUCUUAGACUGCUGUAAAUUCUGAAUUAUCACCUUCACGUAGCACAUGCAUCUCCAUUCAAUAUACUCAAAAGGUGGAGAAAGAGAAGGAACGAAAGAUUUUAUGUGUAAUUCUUCUCCAUAGUAUAACCACGAAGAAGCCGACAAUGGAUCCGGCGGAUAACUCCCAAUUUUGUGAGACCAGUACAGCACGGUGCGUAUUAACACCUUUAUUAUGAUUGAUUCUUGGCCAUUUCUUUUAUGUAGGAAAUGUUCCCGAGAUUGUUUGCACCAUAAGCUGAGCCUGAGAGAGGAUAGAAGAAGCUUAUGGAGCUUGUUCUGAUGAAAAAGAGAAAAGUUGUAACUACAAAUAUCUAACUGUUAUAUAUGGAAAGAGAAGAGAAAAAGAAUAGGAAAAAGGGAAACGAUCGAACGGGCAAAAAACAGCCCACGUCGUAGAAAACAACAAGCAAGCUCCAGAUGCGAGGGGAGGGUAGUGGGUAAAAAUUCGCUGUUACCGACAUCGAGUACACAUUUCCACGUGGAAACUUACUGUAGGUGGGGACUAAAGAGAGGGAAACGUGUCAAGGUAGAUUUCAGGAUCUUAGUAUGUACGGAAUAGAAAGAGGAGAAUCGAGGAAGGUGCAGUGGUUUUUGUAUUGUGGUAAUUGGGAUAUUUUAUUAUGACUAAGAUUGCUUUCGGUUCCUCCAAAAUCUACCAUAGCUGGCAAUUGGCAAUUGGCAAUUGGCAAUUAGCAAAUGAUUCGAUUCGAUUCAACUGUAAAAAAAUAAAUAAUUAGGUUUUAAAUGGGUUGAGGAUAAUAUGAACUUUAGGGUUUAUACAAAUUCCAUUCACCAUUUCUUUAUACCUGAAAAAACUUCUCAUACAAAUACUAGUCCCACAUGAAUCGGACACCGAGUUUUAUCAGGAUGUUUAGCCUCAGCUCAUGCAUCAAUCACAGUAAGUUCCUGACAUUCUCUUCCAAGUUUUCUCUAUAUCUUAAAGAAAAACCACCUCCAGUUUUUUAUAUAUGUAAACAAUUCAUUUGCAAGUUUAUUGAUAGAAGUUUACGCCAAAAAUAAAUAAGAUGAAAGGGAAAAAUAAUAUUAGAAGAUCAGAUGGAUUACAAA